GAUGAAGAACGUAGCGAAAUGCGAUAAGUAGUGUGAAUUGCAGAAUUCAGUGAAUCAUCGAAUCUUUGAACGCACAUUGCGCCUCCUGGUAUUCCGGGAGGCAUGCCUGUUCGAGCGUCAUUAAAAUCACUCAAGCUUAGGUUUACCUAUUGCUUGGUCUUGGAGAUGGAAGCCAAUUCAUCGGAAUCCUCUUCGAAAUCCAAUGGCGAAGACCCUUGCUCUCCCAAGUGUAGUAAUAACUUAUGUCACUGAAGGAAGCGAGAAAUCUUCCGCCGUAACCCCCAUAUUUUCUAUGAUUGACCUCGGAUCAGGUAGGGAUACCCGCUGAACUUAAGCAUAUCAAUAAGCGGAGGA
rnacentral:misc_RNA from 1 species